AAAUUGCCAUGGUUUCUUGCUGAGGAAGGCAUCAGACCUUCAAAAGUAGCUGAUUCCAGUCAGCCGCUGUCAUCACACAAGAAGCUCUUGCGAGCUGACCUGCCAUGUAAGAAGAAUGAGCCUCUAACCGUGGCCACAGCUCAGUGAUACUGACCCACCCACCCACUGUCUCUUUGCUGAACCGAGGUUAAAAAACAUAGAUGCUGUGGAAAUCUGCCUGUAGUGAGAUAUCUGGCCACCAGGAG